rnacentral:tRNA from 1 species
GGAGGAAUACCCAAGUGGCUGAAGGGACUCGUCUCGAACACGAGUAGGUCGGUAACACGGCGCAAGGGUUCAAAUCCCUUUUCCUCCGCCA